GACAGAGGUGGCAAGCGUUGUUCGGAUUCAUUGGGUGUAAAGGGCAGGUAGGCUGUUUUACAAGUCUGACGUGAAAUCCCAGGGCUCAACCCUGGAACUGCGUUGGAAACUGUAUGACUUGAGUAUCGGAGAGGUUAGGGGAAUUCUCGGUGUAAGGGUGAAAUUCGUAGAUAUUCGGAAGAACACCAGUGGCGAAGGCGACUUACUGGACACAUAUUGACGCUGAGGUGCGAAAGCGUGGGGAGCAAACAGG
rnacentral:rRNA from 1 species